rnacentral:rRNA from 1 species
AGAGUUUGAUCAUGGCUCAGAACAAACGCUGGCGGCGUGCCUAACACAUGCAAGUCGUACGAGAAAGUCCGCUUCGGUGGAUGAGUAAAGUGGCGCACGGGUGAGUAACGCGUGGAUAAUCUACCCUUUAGUCUGGAAUAACUUAUCGAAAGGUGAACUAAUACCGGAUAAUAUCCCGAUUUCUUCGGCGAUCGGGAUCAAAGAAGGCCUCUGCUUGCAAGCUUUCACUGAAGGAUGAGUCCGCGUACCAUUAGCUAGUUGGCAGGGUAAUGGCCUACCAAGGUUAUGAUGGUUAGCUGGUCUGAGAGGAUGAUCAGCCACACUGGAACUGAAACACGGUCCAGACUCCUACGGGAGGCAGCAGUGAGGAAUAUUGCGCAAUGGGGGCAACCCUGACGCAGCAACGCCGCGUGAGUGAGGAAGGUUUUCGGAUUGUAAAGCUCUGUCGAGCGGAAAGAAGUGCAUGGUGGUUAAUAUCCAUCAUGCUUGACGGUACCGCUAAAGGAAGCACCGGCUAACUCCGUGCCAGCAGCCGCGGUAAUACGGGGGGUGCAAGCGUUGUUCGGAAUCAUUGGGCGUAAAGCGCGUGUAGGCGGCUGGACAAGUCAGAUGUGAAAGCCCUGGGCUUAACCCAGGAAGUGCAUUUGAAACUGUUCAGCUAGAGUAAGGGAGAGGAAAGUGGAAUUCCUGGUGUAGAGGUGAAAUUCGUAGAUAUCAGGAGGAACACCGGUGGCGAAGGGCGACUUUCUGGCCUAUACUGACGCUGAGACGCGAAAGCGUGGGUAGCAAACAGGGAUUAGAUACCCUGGUAGUCCACGCUGUAAACGAUGUUCACUAGGUGUUGGGGGUAUUGGACCCUUCCGGUGCCCCAGCUAACGCAUUAAGUGAAACCGCCUGGGGAGUACGAUCGCAGAAUUAAACUCAAAGGAAUGACCG